UACAUACACUCUCUGCCGCUGUAAUGUUAUUAGAGCAACACAGCGGAUCGCUCUGGUCUCUUCUGCUCUCUCGCUCUCUUCUCGGAAAUUAAAGCAGAGCUGCAUCAGAGAGUGGAAAAGGUCCCCCUUCUGGUGGUAGGAAGGAUGUAAAAUGCCGGACGGGUGUUUGUUUCUUAAGCAACAAAAGAAGCUGCACGUUUCAUGCAUUCAUUGCGGAUUCAUUUGGAAAGCAGGUCUCUUCUGCACAUUUUACUGCUCCAGCAAGGAAGAAUUUUCCAAAUGAAACAUCUGUAGCAGCUGAGGGUGCUCCAAAGCAAAAGGGCUGAUAAAAUCUACACCUAGUUUUCUGCAUCAAAGAAAACAAACUUCUGGACUGCAGCAAAAAUUUUCCAACUGAAAAAGUCCAACCAGUGAGCAAUUUAAUUAUUCCUACUGUAUUAAAUAUAAUAUAGCAGCAGCAACAUUCCACAUGCAAAUAAAAUAUUUUUGAUGUGCCUUGUC